CGGCGUGCUCGUGCCAUGUGCCUGUCAGUUCUGCAAGCAUUUAUUGGAUGUGAAGGUUGGUGUGAUGACCACGCUGCCCACAACAGGCAAAAGAGUGCAGACAGCUGAGGCUCCUCACUUCCCGCUCCAAAGCUCAGAACCUCCCUUCCCUCCUGGAUCCAACAGAAGCAGUGGCCACUGCUGCCUGUGCCUCUCAAACUUGUCACCCACGGAUGCUGGGAAAAAUGCACAUAAAAGGGUCCUGUCUUUGUGAUGUCAGCGUGAAGUGGAAUUCACAGAAUGGCUAAAGUGGAGGGAAGACUUAAAAUGCAUUGGAUGAUGAUAGCAGCCUCAUUUACAAUCACCACGACUUGGAAGCAGCCGAGAUGUCCUUUGGCAGAUGAUUGGAGAAAUGAACUGUGGCACAUCCAUGCAGACCAUGGAAUACUAUUCAGUGCUAAAAAUGAGUGAGCUUUCCAUCCUUGUAAAGACAUAGAGAAACCUGAAAUGCAGAUCACAAAGUGAAAGGCCAAUCUGGAAAGGCUACACACCCUAUGACUCCAACCCUGUGACAUUCCCAAA
rnacentral:lncRNA from 1 species